rnacentral:lncRNA from 1 species
AAUUCUUUAAAUUAUUUUAAAACAUAAUUUUGCCGGGAUGGAGAGAUGGCUCAGUGGUUAAGAGCACUGACUGCUCUUCCAGAGGUUUUGAGUUCACUUCCCAGCAACCACAUAUAACGGAAUUCAAUGUCCUCUUCUGGUAUGCAUGAAGACAGCAACAGUGUACUCACACACAUAGAAUAAGUAAAAUAAUAAUAAUUUUGCCUGCAUUUGUGUAUGUGUAUUACAUAUGUGCAGUUCCUGGACGUACAGAUAGCUGUGAGCUGCUUUGUGGGUGCUGGAAUAGAACCAAGGUCCUCACCAGGCGGUGGUGGCGCAGGCGUUUAGUCUCAUUCACA